rnacentral:pre_miRNA from 1 species
GUCUCCUCACGGGUUUAAACCCAAUUCGGAGUAUUUCUCCACAAGUGUCCAAUGAUGGGUUUGACUCGGUGGAGGC